ensembl:snRNA U4 U4 spliceosomal RNA
AGCUUUGCACAGUGACAGUAUCAUAGCCAAUGAUUUUUAUCCGAGGCAUGAUUACUGCUAAUUGAAAAGUAUGGGCAGCAGAA